rnacentral:miRNA from 10 species
ACCGGCGCAUCUCUACUUUACU